UCUUUACUAGCAAUUGAAUAAUUCCUAAGUUGUGAAAUUACUUUAAAAAAAAAUAAAUCAAAAGAGACUCACAAAUCCAGUUACCCAAAAUAAGAUAACAGAAAUCACAACUUCUACAUCUGCAACAUCAGGCUGAGCAACUAUCAGAAACAAUGGCAUGAUGAUGGCUCUGAGAAAACAGCUUUAGUGUCUGGGGUAGCAACAAGAUUGCACCAGAAGGAAUCAUGAGGAAGACAGACACAUUGAUUUUGGAAAUCACGGAGACUUAUCACAGCAAAAUAUUAUUCAGAACUGCAUGAUCAUAAAUUAAGUUUUCAUAAGCAUUUAGGAAAUUACAUUCUAGCUAAUUCUUAAAAUUGGUUAGAUCACAACCAAAGACACUUUCCUUAUUUCAAGACAUGAAAGAUGAAAUGAACAGAAUGGACCAUUCCACAGCUGAACACUUCCAAGAAUAAAUGGAUUCUAUAUUUGUCUCUGCCACAGACUUCCACAAAAGCCUGUAUGCUGUCUUGUCCACAAAUACCUCAACUAGAAGCCUGAAUCUCUGCUACUGAGAACACAGGCCAACCAGAAGACUCAGAACUGGAGAUGGCUGAACUGACAUGUCCUGACUCCCAAAAAUGUGGGAAAGAGUCAGAGUCUGCAAAUCCUUCAGCCCCACAGCUAGAAAGUGCAGCCACACUGAGAUCCAGAUACUUCUCCUGAAGAAAGCAUUUAAGGACUUCCUCCUUCUGGUAGACCUGGACAGCCACUGCACACAAGGCUUCCUGCAGCAAAACCACACUUUUUUUUGUCAGGGUCCUAGGUGCACCAAGAUUCCUUACGGGUGUUGAUGAAACUCACCUGGGGCUUCUCCCACCACCCUUCUCAGGGUCUAGGACUCCAUUUCAACUCAGUCCAGAAUGAUCAAUCCCUGAGCUAGAGAUGCCACAGGAGUGCAGCCUCUAGCCCUGCCUCUUGUCUGGACUUCAGAUCCACAUUGCAGUCUUGUCUCCAACCCUGUCUCUGGCCUCAUCUCCUUGUGUUCCCAUAUGGAUACCCUGGAUGAAUCCUGGAUCUGGGUCAUCACUCCUCCAGUCUCGAGCUGCUGAUGUAGCCUGUUACCAGCACCUAGCUAUGCCCAAGAUGUUUGGGUCUCAUUGGAAAGCACCCCAUUGGUUAGGGCACAGCCUGAAGUGGGGUGACCGUCAGCCCUGAGAUCCCUGUCCCACAAAGGAGAAUGCUGCUAAGGAGUAAUAGACAACCUACUCUUGGGUUCACUUAUA